UGAUCGAAGCCCCGGUAAACGGCGGCCGUAACAAUAACGGUCCUAAGGUAGCGAAAUUCCUUGUCGGGUAAGUUCCGACCUGCACGAAUGGCGUAAUGAUGGCCAGGCUGUCUCCACCCGAGACUCAGUGAAAUUGAACUCGCUGUGAAGAUGCAGUGUACCCGCGGCAAGACGGAAAGACCCCGUGAACCUUUACUAUAGCUUUGCACUGGACUUUGAAUUUGCUUGUGUAGGAUAGGUGGGAGGCUUUGAAACCGAGACGCUAGUUUCGGUGGAGCCAAUCUUGAAAUACCACCCUGGUAAUAUUGAGGUUCUAACUCUGUCCCGUUAUCCGGGACGAGGACCAUGUCUGGUGGGUAGU
rnacentral:rRNA from 1 species